rnacentral:lncRNA from 1 species
UCUCAUUUUCACCCUCCAGUUCAAAGCAAUGAAACACUAGCCACCUAAAAUCCCCCCCCCCCAAUCUCUGCCGCUGGAAAUCGCCUCACGGCGGCAGAACUUCUCCAAACUACCCUAAAAUCUAACCCUGCAACCGUCGUCCCCUCCCCUUUCAGAAUCCCUAAACCUUUUCACUCAAACCCCGUCCAAUCUGGCCGAAUUUCAGAUCUGAUGGCAUGCAAAACCUUAGUCACAUGAUUUUGAAUUUUCAAGAAGAUUUAGGACUAAAACUGGUGUUAAUCAUUUGUUCUCAACGGGAACAUUCGAUUAACACCUAUUUUGAUUUAAAUUGGAGAAGGCCAGGGUCCAGCCUGAGUCAACUGUCGUUCGUUCAGUAUAGGUAUAUCUACUCUUCUUUUCCUCUUUCUAUUUCCUCGUUCUUCUCUUUUUCUGUAUCUUCUUCUCUCUUUCUUCACUCUUUUUGCUUCUAUUUUCCCUUUCUUGACUAAAAAUGAAGAAGUUUAGGGUUUCUUAUUCUGUGUGUUUGACUUCAGAUUCAUCGGUUUGUCAAUUGCUAUUAGGUUUCUUAAUUUGGCUUUGCUUAUGUCUAAUUAGUCUAACUUUCAAAUCAGUCUAGUUUAUUAUUGUACUUUUAGUUUCCUUUUGUUGUUAUAAUUCCCUGGUCUAAUAUGUUGAUCUGUUUAAUUGGUUUAAUUCUUAGAAAUGAUUCGUUAUUGUUAGUUUAGGACUCGUUUUAGUAUUAGAUUUGAAUAUUUCUGUUUCUGUUUCAUUUCUGAUUUGUUUCAUGUUAAAUGAAUUUUGGGUUAGUUUAAAGGUUUAAUUGCAUAAAGAUUUGUUCCUUUGAUCUUUAUUUUGUUUUGAUUCUGGUCUUGUGUUGUUGGUCCUGAAUUGGGAAUAAACAGGACUUAUAAGGGGUUAAUUGAACAAAUAAAAACUCAAGAGGUCAUGGGAAGGGUAUGAAAUAGGUUUUUCAGAUAAGGCUAAUGUUAGAAGCUUCUAGAAUAUGGGGCAGCUAGCUCUAUUUGGCCAGCACAAAAUGCUGAAACCAAUAAGAGGCUGCCAGCUAUCUCAUUUCUGUUAGAAAAGAUGCUUUUAGGGCCUGUGUGAGGGAAUAAUUCCCUAUUUCUAUUUUUCAGAACAUGGCAUUUCAUAGGCCUAUAAAACUAAAGUUUAGCACUGUUUCAUUAGAGCUGAUCCUCUUUUCCUCUGUUUUGAGCCAAAAUUUUAAGAACUUUGUGAUUUCUGGUUUCCACAAGUUGAAAAAUGGUUUAAGUCUGGGGCUGUGUAGGUUGUUUCUUGCUGUUUUUUCUCUGCUGAUCUCCUUUUGAAAAUCCAUCCUUUGGCUAUUGACUUACUUGCAUUUGUGUAGUACUUUUGGAGCUAUUUUCAAGCAUCAAGGUACACACCAUGGCCUUGUGCUAAAACCUCUGUAUAUCUGAUUCAACAAGAAUGCUAGAAAUGUUGUUUGAAUGAUAGGUUAUUAUGAUGCCAUUCAUCUUCAUAAGUAUAAUACCAUUUGAGUUUUCCUGACCAUGUAUAUCUCUGUUUAUUUAGCGUUUGUUAUGCUAUAAAAAUAUGUUUUCUUCUGUUUUAAGUGCAAUAUUUGUUAUCUGUUGGGUUUUGAGUUGUAUACACUAUGUUAUGUGUUCAUUCUUGCCUAAUAUUUUUGUUUUGUUCGUUGAGUUUUGUGUUAUAAUCCAGUGGUCAACAUGUGUGUAGCCAUGCUCUUGAUGGGAUUUGACCUCGCCAUGAUUAUAUCUAUAUGAGUUAGAAGCUAAAACAAAUGUUACUCCUAUGUGGGAAAAACUGGUAGCAUUAUGAAAGACUAUGAUCCAGAUUUUAGUUGUAGAUAUUUGUUUUUGAUAGUUCAAGUUGAGUCUGUUUACUAUUUCAUAGGCUAGAGUCAUUUGCCAUAGUAGAAGAUGAGAAUGUUUUGUGAAGCUUUCAAUGACAGUUAUUUAGAUACUAGGACUGCUAGUUCAUUAUUAGAGUCUUGU